rnacentral:rRNA from 1 species
UACGGAGGGUGCAAGCAUUGAUCGGAAUUACUGGGCGUAAAGGGCGCGUAGGCGGUUUGGAAAGUCAGGUGUGAAAUUCCGGGGCUCAACUCCGGAGCUGCACUUGAAACUUCCAGACUAGAGUACAGUUAGGGAAAACGGAAUUCCACGUGUAGCGGUGAAAUGCGUAGAUAUGUGGAAGAACACCAGUGGUGAAGACGGUUUUCUGGGCUGAAACUGACGCUGAGGCGCGAAAGCAAGGGGAGCAAACAGG